UGGGGAAUAUUGUACAAUGGGCGCAAGCCUGAUGCAGCCAUGCCGCGUGUAUGAAGAAGGCCUUCGGGUUGUAAAGUACUUUCAGCGGGGAGGAAGGGAGUAAAGUUAAUACCUUUGCUCAUUGACGUUACCCGCAGAAGAAGCACCGGCUAACUCCGUGCCAGCAGCCGCGGUAAUACGGAGGGUGCAAGCGUUAAUCGGAAUUACUGGGCGUAAAGCGCACGCAGGCGGUUUGUUAAGUCAGAUGUGAAAUCCCCGGGCUCAACCUGGGAACUGCAUCUGAUACUGGCAAGCUUGAGUCUCGUAGAGGGGGGUAGAAUUCCAGGUGUAGCGGUGAAAUGCGUAGAGAUCUGGAGGAAUACCGGUGGCGAAGGCGGCCCCCUGGACGAAGACUGACGCUCAGGUGCGAAAGCGUGGGGAGCAAACAGG
rnacentral:rRNA from 2 species